GACGAACUGUCCUAACGUUGUUCGGAAUCACUGGGCUUAAAGGGCGCGUAGGCGGUCCGACAAGUCAGGGGUGAAAUCCUGCAGCUUAACUGCAGAAGUGCCUUGGAUACUGUCGGUCUUGAGGGAGAUAGGGGUGUGCGGAACUCACAGUGGAGCGGUGAAAUGCGUUGAUAUUGUGAGGAACGCCGGAGGCGAAAGCGGCGCACUGGAUCUCUUCUGACGCUGAGGCGCGAAAGCUAGGGGAGCAAACGGG
rnacentral:rRNA from 1 species